CAGGCUCUCCGGGAAUCCCAGAAGCCCAGCUGGGAUCUGGAACUUGGUCCUCGGACUGAUCACUCUCUACCAGCCGGGCAAUCAGCUGUUCUUGGGAUUGGCUGUGCUUUGAUGGGUUCCUGGUAGAGGUUGAAAUUUGUGUCCCUGGAAAAACGAAACCUGCAAAAGAUUCCUCUGCCAACCGAGAGUGGAAAAGCCAUCUCAAACGGGAGCCAAACAAUGCGUGAGUUUCCUCGGGCCCUUUGCAGGGUGCCAGUUAGCGUCAGCAGCCGCAUGGUGAGAGCAUCGUUUGUGCAGCUGAAUGCAGCUCCUCCUGCUCCUACUCUAGUCGCACCAUUAUUAGCCAUUAGCUG